GACGAACGCUGGCGGCGUGCUUAACACAUGCAAGUCGAACGGAAAGGCCCUGCUUUUGUGGGGUGCUCGAGUGGCGAACGGGUGAGUAACACGUGAGUAACCUGCCCUUGACUUUGGGAUAACUUCAGGAAACUGGGGCUAAUACCGGAUAGGAGCUCCUGCUGCCUGGUGGGGGUUGGAAAGUUUCGGCGGUUGGGGAUGGACUCGCGGCUUAUCAGCUUGUUGGUGGGGUAGUGGCUUACCAAGGCUUUGACGGGUAGCCGGCCUGAGAGGGUGACCGGCAACAGUGGGACUGAGAUACGGCCCAGACUCCGACGGGAGGCAGUAGUGGGGAAUAUUACACAAUGAGCGGAAGCCUGAUGCAGCAACGCCGCGUGCGGGAUAGCGGCCUUCGGGUUGUAGACCGCUUUCGCCUGUGACGAAGCGGGAGUGACGGUAAUGGGUAAAGAAGCACCGGCUAACUACGUG
rnacentral:rRNA from 1 species